AGUUCGAUCCCGGGCUCAGAUUGAACGCUGGCGGAUGCUUACACGCAAGUCGAACGCAGCAUCGACUUCGGUCUGGUGGCAGUGGCGAACGGUAUAAUGUAUCGGAACGUGCCUAGUAGCGGGGAUAAUCAGCGGUGCGGGCUAUUGCACGGUGCAUAAUAUUCCUCUGGGGAAAGCGGGGACCUUCGGGCCUCGCACUAUUAGAGCGGCCGAUAUCGGAUUAGCUAGUUGGUGGGGCAACGGCUCACCGCGACGAUCCGUAGCUGGUUUGAGAGGACGACCAGCCACACUGGGACUACAGAUGACACGGCCCAGACUCCUACGAGGCAGCAGUGGGGGAAUUUGACAAUGGGAAACCCUGAUCCAGCCAUCAUGUGUGCGAUGAAGGCCUUCGGGUUGUAAAGCACUUUUGGCAGGGGGUGAAAUGCGUCGGAUAAUACCCCGUGCAACUGACGGUACUCGCAGAAUAAGCACUGCCAACUACGUGCCACAGCAGCCGCGGGUGAUUAUUGUGGUGCAAGUGCGACUCGGAAUUACUGGGCGUAAAGCGUGCGCAGGCGGUUCGGAAAGAAAGAUGUGGAAACUUGCGAGCUAAUCCUUCUUAAACUGCAUUUUUAACUACUGAGCUAGAGUGUGUCAGAGGGAGGUGGAAUUCCGCGUGUAGCAGGAAAUGCGUAGAUAUGCGGAGUGAAACAAUUGAUGGCGAAGGCAGUCGCUGAUAAAUAUCGAUGCUCAUGCACGAAAGUGGGGAGCAAACAGGAUUAGAUACCCUGGUAGUCCACGCCCUAAACGAUGUCAACUAGCUGUUGGGGCUCGGGCCUUGCAAGUAGCUAACGCGUGAAGCGACCGCCUGUGAGCGCGGUCGCAAGAUUAAAACUCAAAGGAAUUGAUACGACCCGCACAAGCGGUGGAUGAUGUGGAUUAUCUGAUGCAACGCGAAAAACUCAUCACCUUGACAUGUCUGGAAUCCUGAAGAGAUUUGGGAGGCCGCAAGAGAACCGGAACACAGGUGUUGCAUGGCUGUCGUCAGCUCGUGUCGUGAGAUGUUGGGUUAAGUCCCGCAACGAGCGCAACCUUGUCAUUAGUUGCUACGAAAGGGCAAUUUCGACGAGACUGCCGGUGAUGAAACCGGAGGAAGGUGGGGAUGACGUCAAGUCCUCAUGGCCCUUAUGGGUAGGGCUUCACACACGCUAUACAAUGGUCGGGACAGAGGCCGCCAACCCGCGAGGGGAGCCAAUCCCAGAAACCCGAUCGUAGUCCGGAUCGCAGUCUGCAACUCGACUGCGCAAGUCGGAAUCGCUAGCAAUCGCGGAUCAGCAUGUCGCGGUGAAUACGUUCCUGGUCUUGCACACACCGCCCGUCACACCAUGGGAGUGGUUUUACCAGAAGUAGUUAACGCUUCCAUCCGUAAGGAGGAAGAUUACCACGGUAGGAUUCAUGACGGGUGAAGUCGUAAUGAAGGUAG
rnacentral:rRNA from 1 species